AGAGUUUGAUCCUGGCUCAGGACGAACGCUGGCGGCGUGCCUAAUACAUGCAAGUCGAGCGGACAGAAGGGAGCUUGCUCCCGGAAGUCAGCGGCGGACGGGUGAGUAACACGUAGGUAACCUGCCCCUUAGACUGGGAUAACUCCGGGAAACCGGAGCUAAUACGGGAUAAUAGAGAGAAUCACCUGAUUCUCACUUGAAAGACGGUUUCGGCUGUCACUAAGGGAUGGGCCUGCGGCGCAUUAGCUAGUUGGUAAGGUAAUGGCUUACCAAGGCGACGAUGCGUAGCCGACCUGAGAGGGUGAUCGGCCACACUGGGACUGAGACACGGCCCAGACUCCUACGGGAGGCAGCAGUAGGGAAUCUUCCGCAAUGGACGAAAGUCUGACGGAGCAACGCCGCGUGAGUGAGGAAGGCCUUCGGGUCGUAAAGCUCUGUUGUGAGGGAAGAACAAGUACCGGCGUAACUACCGGUACCUUGACGGUACCUACCAGAAAGCCACGGCUAACUACGUGCCAGCAGCCGCGGUAAUAC
rnacentral:rRNA from 1 species